AACAGUUCACUGGGGCCAGAAGUCGAAUAGCCACAUAUUAUAGCCUUUCCAUAACUGCCUCUCGUACAGUACACUUCAAUUUCCACUGGAAAAAGCAUGGCCUCUCUUCAUUUUUCUGUCCAGUCAAUUCCACUGCACCAUCGUCCCUGCGCCGGACUUCAAAAGUCCCCCCUCUCAACUUUCGGAAAAAAUUCCUCUGUGUCCCAUUUCAAUUUCAGGUUUAAGAAUGAAGGUCGACUGCAAGUGAGACCGAGGCUACAUCCUCUAUUCGCUUCAAAUGAUAAUCCUUCGGAGGGAGCAGAUGAAACUAAACGACCCGAUUCUGCUCAAGGUCCACCGUUCCUUACCAUUUUGGCUGGUUUUUUAGUCUUUGCAUUCAUAUGUUGGAUCAUCGGAUCCAUAGUGAUGUGGAUUAUCAGCUUGAUUAUCUAUCCACCUCCUUCAAAGUGAGUUUGAGUUCUUUGUACCUGUUACUCUUAGCCAGCAGAUUGUGAUCAGUGAUAGAGACGAGCUUUUCUGUUAUCGUUGUUAAUAUGAUUUUGUUACUCAAUCGGUAUCAAUCGAUGCUUUACUUUUGCAUCUGUUGGUCCCGGAUCCUUUUCUAAUGGCUACAUUUUUACAGGCGAA